rnacentral:lncRNA from 1 species
UUAACACUGACUCACGGAUCAAAGGACACCCCAGCAAGGAUUCUUGACCAUGGAGAGCUUCAAAGUGUGGAACUCAAGAAGUCAUAGGCAAACCUUUGUAUAUUUGCAUUUUCUUGGAAACAGAAUCCUCAGAGAUGGCUCACCCUCUGGACAGAUUGUUCCCUGUUGCUGCCGCCGCACGCCAGAUCCACCGAAGGGACAGGGUGUCUGAGGAGGCUGAGGAGAGACUGCAGGGAUCCAACCUCUCCGGAUCCCAGGCCAGAGCACAGCGCCCCUCCCUGCCGGGGAGAAGCCCUGCUGGGCUCCUGAACGCCAGGCAGGAAAUUGGAAUGCAGCAAUCACAGUGGAAGGCAGCUGUAACUCUCGUUAAAGUGACAUCAACCCCACCGAGGGAGGAUGCUAUAAAUCCAGGGAAAGGGGGCAUUCAUCCAGGGAGAGCCACAAAAGCAAAGAAAAAAACCCACUUGCGGCUACAGCAGAUUUCUGGCUCAAGCUGACCCCAAGAUGCCAGUGUGCAGACUUCUGAGACAACCAGGUCCCUCAGGAGCCAUCAUUCACAGCUGUGCAAAGGCUGGUGGGCACAGCUGGGAUGGUAGGUGGUUGUCUCCCAUCAGCAAGAGUUUAUGGAAGAGAUCUUGUCUGCAAGAGGAGGAGGAGAAAAAAGGCAGAGGAAUCCCUCACUUCAAAUGAGGUUAUGGAGAUGCGUAAAAUGUGGGCAACAGUGCAAAAUUUUGUGGAAAAACACCACCCGAAUAAAGCUGUAGCAGUGCGAGCAAUGAAUCUGUCUAACCACAAUACAAUGUCUCAUUUCUGCGAAAUCCUCAAAAGGAGGCAAAAGCAAGUGUCACUGGAUAGGUUCUUUGUUAGAUUUGCAUGAAAAGAAAAAGACCCCAUUGAGCCAACAGAUAGCAGUGAUUCCAUAUUGACAGUGAAAGUCCUCUUAAUGACCCUCCUCUCUCUUGUCUCUCUCACACCGGCCAUGAAGUUUGCAAAAGUGCAG